rnacentral:rRNA from 1 species
AUACAGAGGGUGCGAGCGUUAAUCGGAAUUACUGGGCGUAAAGCGCGCGUAGGCGGCUUGGUCAGUCGGAUGUGAAAGCCCCGGGCUCAACCUGGGAAUGGCAUUCGAUACUGCCAGGCUAGAGUAUGGGAGAGGGAAGUGGAAUUUCCGGUGUAGCGGUGAAAUGCGUAGAUAUCGGAAGGAACACCAGUGGCGAAGGCGACUUCCUGGCCCAAUACUGACGCUGAGGUGCGAAAGCGUGGGGAGCGAACAGGAUUAGAUACCCCUGUAGUCC